CUGAAGAUCAAACAGCAAUUACCUUCAGCCAGUCCUCCAUGUCUCCAUCCUCAACCACUUGAAGCUCCUCCCCUUCAUUGAUUGACAGCUCAUCUGAUUGGCUUGCCUUCAAGAGUUAUAUGGCUGCUGAUGGGCAUCUGGAUUUUAUUUACCCUUUCCGAAGGGUAUGAUCUUCAGUUCUGACGCCAGCCCUCAGUUUUCAGUGGGAUCAGAUGGACAACUGUCAGCAAUCCCACAAAAUGUCUGGCCUCCUGGAGAAGGCCAUUGAAGAAGUAGAUCUUCAGACACAGCAAGCUCCACCUCGGCCUGGUUCAUGGCGUUGCAAAGCCACGUUUCAAUUCCUGUGAUGCUCUCUGACAACAGAGCGAGACGAGCCUCAGCCUUUACCCUGCUGAGCUGAGACGGGAAGGAAAAAAGUG